rnacentral:precursor_RNA from 1 species
UCUAAGUCAGUAAGCGAGGCUCCUGGUAGUUAGUCAAUUCCUGAAAAGUCAGACGAAGACAUGGUUAUAUCUAGGAGCAUGUCUAUGACAAAAU